CGGUCUUAACAGAGAUUCAAAUCUUUGCUUUGUAACCACAAAACAAAUUUCCAAUUUCAAAUCCCUGAAAGCCAACACAAAUUUGUGAACAAAUAUUCAAUUGGGGUUUCUUCUUCUUCUUCUAAUGGCUUCUGAUACUCCUCGAGCACGCAUUGAUCAAUUCUUUGCUUCAAAAAAGAAGAGGAAGUCCCUAUCACCAAGUCUGAAACCUGCAAGAGCCAAGAAAGAUGUUAAGACUUCACAGGAAGGGUCUCCUUGCACGAAAGGUUCGUUGGAUGGGUUUUUAGUGACUUCUCAGGAUGAUAGUAAACCUUCGCACGAAGCUAGAGGCACACCGGUUAGGAGAAACCUGACAUUAGAGAUCGGUCCAUAUCUAAAAGAUGAAAAUAAAGAUAGUAAUUUUUUGGUGGAAGCACAAUCUACAACUUUUGAUACAAAAACUUCAAAGGAGAAGUCUGUUAUUUCCCCUAACUCACAUGUUGUUGAAAAUAGAGGUCAUGGAGAAGAUGUCUUGGUUACUACACAGGUUACCGGAAACUCAGAACUUAAGCAAUUUGCUACGAACUUCUUGUCAUUAUACUGCAGUUCAAGUUUACCUUCAGCGCAGAAUGAAGGUGCUAGUAAACGGAAUGGUAGCCCUUCCAUUCUUGAUGCGGAUAAUAAGAAUGCAAAGAGAAUCCGCUGCAUCUCGAGUGAAUAUAAUUCUAAUAUCAACAGAAACUCUAAUUCUGAGGGCGCAACUUUAAAUUCUAUUGAGAUAACAGAGGGGAAUACAUCAGGUGAAGCUCGGAUAAGCUUGAGAAAAUGCAACAAUCUACCUGUCAUUGGGUCAACUGAAUCUGAGACACCUGGUUCAACAUCUACGAAGCUUCGUGUUGGUGAUACUCCCAAGUCAAGUCGUGGUAGCUCCAUUUUUUCACCCGGCGAAACAUUUUGGAAUGAAGCAAUUCAGGUUGCUGAUGGUUUGUUUGGCGGAAGUGAUAAGUUUUCUCUUCAAGCAGCACAAGAGUCUGACGCUUUGAAAACUCAUAAUGAGAUAAUCAAUUCCAAUAAUCUUGGAAAUGGAGACUGUGGCAAUAAGUCCCGCAAAACAUUUAAUGAAGGUAUAGAGACAGUUUCUGAUGCCGGCGUUUUUUCUGCUGUUGGUUCAUUGAGGAAGUUGGGAAAGGAUCUGGAUGGAGAGAAGUCCCCCAUGCCGGUUAAGCAUUUUGAUUUUGCCUCUGACGAGAAAAAUUCUGAUGCUUUACAAUCUCACAGAAGUAACAUGGACAUCCAGACUAUUAGUGGCAAAGGAUCCCAAGAUCAUGUAAAUUUGAGUAGCUAUCCUGUCCUCAGCCAUUGCAAGGCAGCUCAAGCAAAAGGCAAGAUCUUUGAAGUUCAAAACAUGACUCCAGAAUGUUGUGCUGCUAAGGGUAACAAGAAUGUGCUUAUCCACGAUACUGAUAUAAUGGCAUCAACUACACCUCCGGAGAAACUUAAUAGUUGUGCAGCUAAUUCCUUAUCAAGUAAAGACAACACUCCUUCAAGUAUGGCAACACUAAAGAAUCAUUUAGAUCUCAACCAUUGGCUACCUUCUGAAAUAUGCAACAUUUACAGGAAAAAGGGUAUUUCAAAAUUGUACUCAUGGCAGGUUGAUUGUCUUCAAGUGGAUGGAGUUUUGCAGAACCGGAAUCUUGUAUAUUGUGCUUCUACCAGUGCUGGUAAAAGUUUUGUUGCCGAGAUAUUAAUGUUACGGAGAAUUUUAUCAUCCGGAAAAAUGGGUCUUCUUGUGCUUCCAUAUGUAUCCAUUUGUGCAGAGAAGGCAGAACAUCUUGAGGUCCUUCUGGAACCCGUUGGGAAGCAUGUUCGCAGUUAUUAUGGUAAUCAGGGAGGUGGUAGUCUUCCAAAGGAUACUGCCAUAGCCGUCUGCACUAUUGAGAAGGCAAAUUCCUUAAUUAACCGACUGCUAGAAGAGGGUCGUUUGUCAGAGCUUGGUAUCAUUGUGAUUGAUGAACUCCACAUGGUUGGAGACCAGAAUAGGGGUUAUCUAUUGGAGUUGAUGCUGACCAAGCUUCGCUAUGCAUCUGGUGAAGGAAAUACAGAGUCAUCCAGUGGAGAAACUUCAGGUACGAGCAGUGGAAAAGUUGGCCUUGCUGGAAGCCUCCAAAUUGUUGGCAUGAGUGCAACUCUACCCAAUGUGACAGCAGUCGCCGAUUGGCUUCAAGCAGCUUUAUAUCAGACCGAGUUUCGACCUGUUCCAUUGGAAGAAUAUGUAAAAGUCGGUAACACAAUUUAUAACCAAAAAAUGGACAUUGUCAGGACAAUCUCAAAAGCAGCUGAUCUUGGUGGUAAAGAUCCAGAUCACAUCGUGGAGCUCUGCAACGAGGUUGUCCAAGAAGGCCACUCAGUGCUAAUUUUCUGCUCAAGUCGCAAAGGAUGUGAAUCUACUGCUAGGCAUGUGGCGAAGUAUCUUAAAAGAUUUUCCUUGAACCACCUGAGCAGCCAAAAUGAGUCAAUUGAUAUUACCUGUGCAAUUGAUGCUUUGCGAAGAUCUCCAGCUGGGUUGGAUCCUAUUCUGGAAGAGACUCUUCCUGCUGGUGUUGCCUAUCACCAUGCUGGACUCACGGUUGAGGAAAGAGAAACAGUUGAAACCUGUUACCGCAAAGGACUUGUACGUGUCUUAACAGCUACAUCAACCUUAGCUGCAGGGGUUAACCUCCCUGCCCGGAGAGUUAUUUUUCGACAACCGCGUAUUGGUCGUGACUUUAUUGAUGGCACAAGAUACCAACAGAUGGCUGGUCGGGCUGGUCGGACGGGUAUAGAUACAAAAGGAGAGAGUGUGCUGAUCUGCAAACCAGAAGAGGUCAAACGAAUAAUGGCACUUGUUAAUGAGAGCUGUCCACCGUUGCAUUCUUGUUUAUCUGAAGAUAAGAAUGGGAUGAUCCAUGCAAUAAUGGAAGUUGUAGCUGGUGGUAUUGUUCAAACAGCUAGUGACAUUAACCGGUACGUUAGGUGUACCCUUCUCAAUUCAACAAAACCAUUUGAUGAUGUGGUUAAAUCAGCACAAGAUUCUCUUCGCUGGUUAUGCCAUAAAAAAUUUCUUGGAUGGAGUGAAGAUACCAAGUUAUACACAGUCACACCUCUUGGUCGUGCAUCUUUUGGCAGUUCUCUCUCUCCUGAAGAAUCACUGGUUGUCUUGGAUGAUUUGAUUAGAGCGAGGGAAGGGUUUGUGCUUGCAUCUGAUCUGCAUGUUGUUUACUUAGUGACACCCAUUAAUGUUGAUCUCGAGCCUGACUGGGAACUGUAUUACCAGAGGUUCAUGGAGUUGUCUGCCCUGGAUCAGUCAGUUGGCAAUCGCGUUGGAGUUCAAGAACCCUUUUUGAUGCGAAUGGCUCAUGGUGCUCCAGUUCGUACAUCGUAUAGGUCAAAGGCUGGUACCAAAGGGUUGCAGGGAAAGUUGGAUAACAGAUCUCUGAAUGACCAUAUGCUUUCAGAUGAGCACAUGCUUCGCGUCUGUAGGAGAUUCUUUGUGGCUCUUAUACUGUCAAGGCUUGUGCAGGAAGUGCCAGUUGUCGAGGUUUGUGAUGCAUUUAAGGUCGCAAGGGGUAUGGUUCAGGCUUUACAAGAAAAUGCUGGAAGGUUUGCUUCCAUGGUCUCUGUUUUUUGUGAGAGGCUUGGUUGGCAUGACCUUGAAGGAUUAGUAUCAAAGUUCCAAAAUCGUGUCUCAUUUGGAGUGAGGGCAGAGAUUGUAGAGCUCACCACCAUUCCAUAUGUUAAGGGUUCCCGAGCUCGAGCACUGUAUAAAGCUGGUUUCCGAACACCUGAAGCAAUUGCUGAAGCAUCAGUUCCUGAGAUUGUCAAAGUACUUUUUGAGUCUUCAUCAUGGGCUGACCAAGGUUUUGCGCAACGGAGGAUCCAAUUAGGAGUUGCGAAAAAGAUAAAAAAUGGUGCACGCAAGAUUGUUCUUGAUAAAGCUGAGGAAGCAAGGCUUGCCGCAUUCUCAGCAUUCAGGUCGCUUGGACUUGAUGUUCCAACGCUUGCCCAGCCUGUCAUAUCUACUGCUGCUGGACAUAAUGCUCACAAAGAAGCUAGUACCUCCUCUGCAGAAGGGUCAACUAGUAGCUUUGUUAGCCGGGAGAACACGAAUCAAGUCCUUCCGACAUUACCCCAAGAAAGAAGUAAGGAGGUCAAUAUCACUAUUCCUGAUGCAGGAGCAGAAAAUGCAAAAGGGAAAAGAGUUGCUGACAAAGAGGUAUUUGAUAUAGAAGGAUCUAAUCGUAGCGGUGAAGUUAAUGAAACUACUCAUCAUAUUGAUAAUACAGAGACUUCCCCUUAUCCAACUUUAAGAGUUAAGGGCAUCGAAGGAGGUGGUACCUGUGAAAAUCAUAAUCCUGUUGGGGAACAACACUGCAAAGGAGCUGAGAUAUGUAAUGGAAGAGUCAAAGAAACAACAGAGAAGGGUCCUAUGAAUGCGACUGCUGUGGCUGGUGGAUUUGAUUCAUUCCUGGGUCUCUGGGAAGCUGCUGGGGAGUUCUAUUUUGAUGUCCAUUUCAGCAAAAAGUCUGCACUGAACAGCAUUGCCCCAUUUGAAAUAUAUGGCAUAGCCAUUUGUUGGGAAGAUUCUCCCGUCUAUUAUGUAAAUCUUCCGAGGGACUUAUUUUGGUCCAAAAGCAGAAAGAAUAGCCAAUCAUCGCCCAUUACCGGUGGUGAUAUUGGGAAUGCUCUACCACCAAAGCUUCAGUGGGAGAUAGCAAUACAACGCUGGAAUAGAAUUAGUACCAUAAUGAGGACAAAAGAUAUAAAAAAGUUUACAUGGAACUUAAAAGUUCAGAUUCAGGUACUCAAGCAUCCUACUGUUUCAAUUCAGAGAUCUGUUGGCUUGAGUCUUUUGGUCAAAUCUCUCGGUGUGGAUCUAAUUGACAACAAUUGCUAUCUGUUGUCUCCUGUUCCCGUUCAAGAUGCAAUUGACUUGUGUAUAGUAGCUUGGAUCCUCUGGCCUGAUGAGGAGAAAGGUUCUAACCCUAGUAUAGAAAAGGAAGUGAAGAAAAGGUUAUCCAUUGAGGCUGCUGCUGCCGCUAAUCGAAACGGUAGAUGGAAGAAUCAGAUGCGACAAGUUGCUCAUAAUGGUUGUUGUCGUCGAGUAGCACAAACACGAGCCUUGUGUUCUGUUUUAUGGAAACUAGUCAUUUCUGAAGGACUUGUUGAGGCACUUGGAGCAACUGAAAUGCCAUUGGUCAAUGUUCUUGCAGACAUGGAGCUCUGCGGAAUAGGCGUUGACAUGGAAGGAUGCCUACAGGCACGACAAAUUCUGGGAAGAAAGCUGAAGAUUCUGGAAAAGGAAGCUUACAAGUUGGCUGGCAUGACUUUUUCAUUGUACACAGCAGCAGAAAUUGCGAAUGUACUCUAUGGGCAUCUACAGCUUCCUAUUCCAGAAGGACGUAAAAAAGGAAAACAGCACCCUAGUACCGAUAAGCAUUGCUUGGAUUUGCUAAGGAAUGAACAUCCAAUAGUUCCUAUAAUUAAAGAGCACCGCACCCUAGCAAAACUCUUGAAUUGUACAUUGGGGUCAAUUUGCUCACUUGCUAGACUAUCUAUGAGGACACAGAGGUACACACUGCAUGGUCAUUGGCUCCAGACGUCAACAGCAACAGGGCGACUGUCAAUGGAGGAACCAAAUCUUCAGUGUGUUGAACAUAUGGUUGACUUCAAAAUGAAUAACGAGGAUAAAGACAUUUGUCCGCUAGAUGUCAAUAAUUAUAAGAUCAAUGCGCGUGAUUUUUUUGUAUCUACUCAGGAGAAUUGGUUACUGUUAACAGCAGAUUAUUCCCAGAUAGAACUAAGAUUGAUGGCUCAUUUCUCUAAAGAUUCCUCGUUGAUCGAGCUGCUUAGUGAACCCCAAGGUGAUGUCUUCACCAUGAUUGCUGCAAAAUGGACAGGUAAAACAGAGUCUAUUGUGAGUCAAGGGGAGCGAGAUCAAACUAAAAGAUUGGUUUACGGCAUUCUUUAUGGAAUGGGAGCUAAGAGCCUUGCAGAACAAAUCGAUUGUAGUUCAGAUGAAGCAGCUGAAAGAAUAGAAAGCUUUAAAAGAUCCUUUCCUGGUGUUGCUUCCUGGCUACAGGAAGCAGUUACAUCCUGCCGUGAGAAAGGUUAUAUAGAGACCCUCAAGGGACGAAAGCGUUUCUUGGCAAAAAUAAAUUUCGGAGACAGUAAGGAAAAGUCCAAAGCUCAGAGGCAAGCUGUGAAUUCUAUCUGCCAGGGGUCAGCUGCAGACAUUAUCAAGAUUGCUAUGACAAGCAUCCACUCUGUGCUUGAUAAUUUUGAGAAGUCUCCAUCCCAUUCUGCGGUUCAUGAAAAGUUUCAUGUGCUUAAAGGACGUUGUCGGAUCAUUUUACAGGUUCACGAUGAAUUAGUACUUGAGGCUGAUCCUUCUGUUGCAAAGGAAGCUGGAUUGUUGUUGCAGACGAGCAUGGAAAACGCUGUUUCUCUUCUUGUCCCACUGCAUGUGAAACUGAAGAUUGGGAGCACAUGGGGAUCGUUGGAGCCUUUCUAGGUCAGAGAAUGAAUAGGUUUAAAUGUGGACAUUUGUUGGUAAAGUUUAAAACUAUCAGUUGCUUCAUGCUGUUCGAACAGUAUCAACAGCAGUUAUUUUCAGUUUCCUCUCAAACUGGACAGUCUUUAUCUAACAGACCAAACAAUGAUGUUCACAUGGCAUGCAACGGUAUAAUUUCAUGUGGAUUAGCUUCUCGUCAAGGUUAUAAUGCACUCUUUGUUGGCGUGUUUCAUAAUCUCACAACUUCUGUACAAGAAAAGGAUCUGAUUGAUGGAUCAGGUUACUUGAAGGAAAUGGGAAGGACAGAGGAAGGGACUUUUCACUUUAUUGAACAAAAUCUGCCUUGUUGGUGCUCUGAUAAUUUUUUUAAACUAUGAUAUGAAGUAAUAUUGUGAUGAGGGAGCUGAGAACCAAGGCCGCUUUUCAAUAUUUUGAGAGCAUGAGAUGUCAAGACUGCUGAUGAGAUUUUCCUUAUUGUCUCCUGAGCAUGCUGCUUCACCGUGUUGUAAGCCGACAAGUAACUUAGAGGGCAAUGUGCUCAGAGAAACUCAGAGAAAGCGGAUGCUUCAUAGUGAAGUGUAAUAUUGUAAGUGUCAAUUAAUGGCAGGGUAAUACAUAUCCAGAGAACCAAGGAGUUGUCCAAGUGGCGGAAGACUUGUAGGUGCUGAAUGCUUGAUUCUUAAGUUUCAAAUCCUAGUGGAGCCAUAUUCGUUAUUCAAGCUUGUGUUGGCCCUGGGCUACGAAUCUUGUGGUGUGUCUCAUGCUCUUUAGUCGGGCAAUGAAGGGUUCCAAUGCAUUUAUUGGUCCCCUAAAGCCCAAAAAACAAGGGAAAAAGAAAAUUUCCGGGGAAGCAAUGAGCAUGGGAUAAAUACUUUUCCAUUGUCUAAGCCCUCAAAGUUUAGUCGACGCGGAUCUCCAGGAACAUUUCGGGUUUCUAUGAAUUGCCAUGCGAGGAUAUUGAAUGUCUUCUGGUGCAUUUUCUGCUGUAUAUUCCCUGACAUCUGUUGCAUGUGGAAUUGGUUAAUGAUGUUUGAGAAAGUUAAAUUGCUGUAUUUUUGGCUCUCUUAUGGAGGAACAGCCUGGGCCAUGGAAGAUCCACAUCCUGUCACAUUGUUAGCAGAGGGUAGAGACAAAACAAUCUCAGGGGGUUGGGAUCUGAAGGCAUGCAGCUGUGUUAGCAACUUUCCUGGCAGUCAAAUUUGGAAAUAUAGAGCACACCCGAAAGGCUGUUCUCAUUGCUUGGAAGACCUCAUUGGAAGUUACUGUGAUACGCGACAACUAGAGACAAUCAGAGGAGUUUUGAUGGUAAGUCGAAUCCAGAAUAACUGAAGUCUAUUUUUGCUUUAAUCCAGAUUGCUGAUGUUUCUGUACUUAGCAGAGAUUGAAUAGUGUCAACCAAGAGGUUGGUGGGAGAACUCAAAGAGAAAAUAAGAGUUACAAGUUGUUCUUGAAACCAUUGAACUAAUACAAAUAGAAAACACUGUUGGCUUCAGA